CCCUACGGGGCGCAGCAGGCGCGAAAACUCUAUAAUGCAGGCAACUGCGAUAGGGGAACAUCGAGUGAUCCUCAUAUUGGGGGUCUGUCCACCCGCCUAAAAAGCGGGUGUUAGCAAGGGCCGGGCAAGACCGGUGCCAGCCGCCGCGGCAACACCGGCGGCUCGAGUGGUAACCGUUAUUAUUGGGUCUAAAGGGUCUGUAGCCGGCCGGAUAAGUCUCUUGGGAAAUCUGGCAGCUUAACUGUCAGGCUUUCAGGAGAUACUGUCUGGCUCGAGGCCGGGAGAGGUGAGAGGUACUUCAGGGGUAGGGGUGAAAUCUUGUAAUCC
rnacentral:rRNA from 1 species